rnacentral:rRNA from 1 species
AAUACCUUUGCUCAUUGACGUUACCCGCAGAAGAAGCACCGGCUAACUCCGUGCCAGCAGCCGCGGUAAUACGGAGGGUGCAAGCGUUAAUCGGAAUUACUGGGCGUAAAGCGCACGCAGGCGGUUUGUUAAGUCAGAUGUGAAAUCCCCGGGCUCAACCUGGGAACUGCAUCUGAUACUGGCAAGCUUGAGUCUCGUAGAGGGGGGUAGAAUUCCAGGUGUAGCGGUGAAAUGCGUAGAGAUCUGGAGGAAUACCGGUGGCGAAGGCGGCCCCCUGGACGAAGACUGACGCUCAGGUGCGAAAGCGUGGGGAGCAAACAGGA